rnacentral:lncRNA from 1 species
GGCGCCUGGCCGGUUCACGGAUGGGCUUCAGCUUGCCCAGGGCACCGGCCUGGGACUCCCGCCCAGCCCCUGGAUCGGGCCCAGCCCAGGCAGGACGGCAGGGUCCCUGCUGCCAGGCGGGUGGGGGAGGGGCGUUUUCAGGGCGUUUGACAUUUAACAAACAGUAUGCAAAUCGCAUGCAAAUUGCAUGCAAAUCGCCACCCAUUUCUUAAGCCCCGACAGCGCUGGCGUGGUCUGAAAUAAUAAUGUCGGACCUGUCCCGGGUGAUGGCCUGGUGGGCUGCAGGCCUCCUGCCCGCUCCCUCCCUGCCCCUUCCUUUCUCUUCUCCAGGCCCUCCCCUCCCCCCCCUGCUUCUCCC